GAUGAACGCUGGCGGCGUGCCUAAUACAUGCAAGUCGAGCGAACGGACGAGAAGCUUGCUUUUCUGAUGUUAGCGGCGGACGGGUGAGUAACACGUGGAUAACCUACCUAUAAGACUGGGAUAACUUCGGGAAACCGGAGCUAAUACCGGAUAAUAUUUUGAACCGCAUGGUUCAAAAGUGAAAGACGGUCUUGCUGUCACUUAUAGAUGGAUCCGCGCUGCAUUAGCUAGUUGGUAAGGUAACGGCUUACCAAGGCAACGAUGCAUAGCCGACCUGAGAGGGUGAUCGGCCACACUGGAACUGAGACACGGUCCAGACUCCUACGGGAGGCAGCAGUAGGGAAUCUUCCGCAAUGGGCGAAAGCCUGACGGAGCAACGCCGCGUGAGUGAUGAAGGUCUUCGGAUCGUAAAGCUCUGUUAUUAGGGAAGAACAGAUGUGUAAGUAACUGUGCACAUCUUGACGGUACCUAAUCAGAAAGCCACGGCUAACUACGUG
rnacentral:rRNA from 1 species